UACGGGGGGGGUAAGCGUUGUUCGGAAUUACUGGGCGUAAAGGGCUCGUAGGCGGCCAACUAAGUCAGACGUGAAAUCCCUCAGCUUAACUGGGGAACUGCGUCUGAUACUGGAUGGCUUGAGUUUGGGAGAGGGAUGCGGAAUUCCCGGUGUAGCGGUGAAAUGCGCAGAUAUCGGGAGGAACACCUAUGGCGAAGGCAGCUCGCUGGGACGUUACUGACGCUGAGACGCGAAAGCGUGGGGAGCAAACAGG
rnacentral:rRNA from 1 species